GUUGGGUGUAGUGGCUCACACCUGUAAUCCCAAGGACUCUGGAGGCUGAGGCAGGAGGAUCGAAAGUUGGAGGCCAGCCUCAGCAGCUUAGUGAGAGCCUGUUUCAA
rnacentral:sRNA from 1 species